rnacentral:rRNA from 1 species
AUUGAACGCUGGCGGCAUGCCUUACACAUGCAAGUCGAACGGUAACGGGCCUUCGGGUGCCGACGAGUGGCGAACGGGUGAGUAAUACAUCGGAACGUGCCCGAUCGUGGGGGAUAACGAGGCGAAAGCUUUGCUAAUACCGCAUACGAUCUACGGAUGAAAGCAGGGGACCGCAAGGCCUUGCGCGGACGGAGCGGGCGAUGGCAGAUUAGGUAGGUGGUGGGAUAAAAGCUUACCAAGCCGACGAUCUGUAGCUGGUCUGAGAGGAUGAUCAGCCACACUGGGACUGAGACACGGCCCAGACUCCUACGGGAGGCAGCAGUGGGGAAUUUUGGACAAUGGGCGCAAGCCUGAUCCAGCCAUGCCGCGUGCAGGAUGAAGGCCUUCGGGUUGUAAACUGCUUUUGUACGGAACGAAAAGCCUUCUUUUAAUACAGGAGGGUCAUGACGGUACCGUAAGAAUAAGCACCGGCUAACUACGUG